AUUUAAUUUAAGAAAUAAAACUGUUCACAUCAAUUGACACUUCUGAGCUCAUACCAAAACGAGUCUUUGGCUUCCUAGUCCCUCCCUACCCACUUUGAUUUCUCUCAUUUUCUCGCCAACCAAUCAACCUAAAACCAUGUCUCCCUCUCAAAAAGAUUCCAAAGCCAAUCUAUUUCAGCUUCCUAAUCCCCAAACCUCAACAAACCCACCACCACUCCAAUCCUCAAACGAAAAUCCAAGACGACGUGAAAAUCAUCGUCAGAUUCAAGUCCAGGCACAACUACAUUCGCCUUCUGGCAGUUUCGAGGGCGGACCCGGCGGCACGUUUGAUUCUCAAAAUGUAUGCCGAAGUGGUGAUUCGUGAUUGGAAGCUACUACUAGAAAUGGGUUCUCUGGGAUACCGGUUGAUUUGUUUUCGAAAAUCGAAGGGUUGUGCAUCCCUGAGCUAAACACUUGGGCAAAGCUCAGAAAAUGUUUGAGAAAAAGUGGGAGAGUAAUGGUGAAGGUUGGAGGUAGCUGUAUUGACUAUCGAGGCUGAGGAUUCUCGUAGAGAUGGUAAACGAGUAAUAGAGGAGGCAUUAAAGGCGAUGAGUCAUGCUUUUGAUGGAAAGCUUUUCGUUUUGAGCCUUGGGAAAAGGGAUGGAUUUGGUGGAAUUCUUGUGAUGGGAGGAGCCAGCUGUAUAACCAAAGAUAUUAAAAAAUUGAUUUUGAUCCAGUGCAGAUAUAGUUUUUUUUGGAACUUGAGCUGACCCAAGUCAUUUGUGUGAUGUAUAGAAUAGUGGUACAACUUGGAAUUUUCAGAUUUGCUGCGUACAGAUUCUUUUCUCCUUUGUUCAUUUGUUGGGUUCUUUCAUUUAUUCUUAGUUAAGAAAUACCACCCAUAUACAAGGUCAAAUGUCAUCUUCUGGUAAAGUGGUAAUUGAAGUAUUGGUACGGUAGAAUAAUCUGCUUUUUAUAUUACGUUUUGGUGUGAGACAGUAUUCAUCGUAAAAUGAGAAGUCAAUAAGGUAAUCACUAGCUGUUUUACUAAAUACCCUUUUCAUGGAAGUCAGUGAAAUUAGGUGUUCGAACUCAAACAAAGUCAACUGAUUUCUCAAAUAUUAUAGAGCCGAAAUUAGGUGAUACACACUUCCUCGGAUGAAGCUUUAUUAUAAUAAGCACACACAAAUACACCAAAAACCCAACUCCUUAAAUUUGCUUAGAACUUCUUACCUUCUGUGAUUGCCUUCUACAUUUUCUUUCUACUUAAAAGUCACAGGGUUCCAGAAGCUGUUAUUUGUUGCUGAUACUAAAGAUGAGGGCUUUCUCUACAAAGCUCUUUAUGAUAUUUAUUCUCUCUGGCCUAUAUCUUGCUACUUCUGCAUUCAACCCUUAUGGUAAUGAGAAGAGCUCAUUCCAUGUUCUCACCCGGAUAGACAAGUUUAGGAUGAUACUGGCAAAAAUGGAAGCUUAUGACAACUCGAUGGUGCACUCCAGGAGUCUUGGGUCACGCCGCAUAUUGCCACCACCGCCACCUACCAAAAAUAGGCAGUCAGCUAUGCGUGCUCCGGCUCCACCUCCUCUAGUUGCUUAUUAAAUGUCUAAAAUGAAAGUUUAAGAAUGAUCUUUGUCCAAGGUUUCAUGUAAGUGCGUUCUUCUUCAAAUGCCAAUAUGUAAAAAGCAUCUUGUGGAAAAAGACUAGUUGACUAGUUCAGUUUUCUAAUUGAGUAGCCCAACUGAAUGUCUAUUUGUCAGACUGGAGUCUACUGUGUAUGAAAAAACGUAAUAAAUAAAAUCUGAAGGACAAGACUCUCUUAGCUUCUCACUAA